GCGGACUACUUUGAGACCAGCAGCCAGUGCUCCAAGCCCGGUGUCAUCUUCCUAACCAAGAGAGGCCGGCAGGUCUGUGCUGACCCCAGUGAGGAGUGGGUCCAGAAAUACGUCAGUGACCUGGAGCUAAGUGCCUGAGGGGUCCAGAAGCUUCAAGGCCCAGCGACCUCGGUGGGCCCAGUGGGGAGGAGCAGGAGCCUGAGCCUUGGGAACAUCCCUGUGACCUCCACAGCUACCUCUUCUAUGGACUGGUUGUUACCAAACAGCCACACUGUGGGACUCUUCUUAACUUAAAUUUUAAUUUAUUUAUACUAUUUAGUUUUUAUAAUUUAUUUUUGAUUUCACAGUGUGUUUGUGAUUGUUUGCUCUGAGAGUUCCCCCUGUCCCCUCUGCCUUCCCUCCAGUGUGUCUGGUGACAACCGAGUGGCUGUCAUCGGCCUGUGUAGGCAGUCAUGGCACCAAAGCCACCAGACUGACAAAUGUGUAUCGGAUGCUUUUGUUCAGGGCUGUGAUCGGCCUGGGGAAAU
rnacentral:lncRNA from 1 species